UACGAACUGUGCAAACGUUAUUCGGAAUCACUGGGCUUAAAGGGUGCGUAGGCGGCUAUUUAAGUAGGGUGUGAAAUCCCCCGGCUCAACCGGGGAACUGCGCUCUAAACUGGAUGGCUUGAGUGAGAUAGGGGUGUGUGGAACUUCCGGUGGAGCGGUGAAAUGUGUUGAUAUCGGAAGGAACGCCGGUGGCGAAAGCGACACACUGGGUCUCAACUGACGCUGAGGCACGAAAGCCAGGGGAGCGAACGGG
rnacentral:rRNA from 1 species